CUACGGGCGGCUGCAGUGAGGAAUAUUGCACAAUGGGGGGAACCCUGAUGCAGCAACGCCGCGUGGAGGAUGACGCAUUUCGGUGUGUAAACUCCUUUUAUAUGUCAAGAAAAUGACGGUAGCAUAUGAAUAAGCACCGGCUAACUCCGUGCCAGCAGCCGCGGUAAUACGGAGGGUGCAAGCGUUACUCGGAAUCACUGGGCGUAAAGGACGCGUAGGCGGGUUGGAAAGUCAGGUGUGAAAUCCUACAGCUUAACUGUAGAACUGCACUUGAAACUUCUAAUCUAGAGUAUGGGAGGGGGAGAUGGAAUUAGUGGCGUAGGGGUAAAAUCCGUAGAUAUCACUAGGAAUACCUAAAGCGAAGGCGAUCUCCUGGAACAUUACUGACGCUAAGGCGUGAAAGCGUGGGGGGCAAACAGGAUUAGAUACCCCUGUAGUC
rnacentral:rRNA from 1 species